CACGAGCCACCCUAUGGGCUUGCGGUGGACGUUGAGCGACACGGGAAAUUGCUUCUUGCGAGAUACGACCAUCCCCCAUUCAUGAAUUACUGUACACUUGAAAAGAAAAGGCCACAAAGCACGCCACUGUCAACGUCUAGGAGCGCAGCCAUCGAAUAAGACAGCCCCAAUGCCGCG